rnacentral:rRNA from 1 species
UACGGAGGGGGCUAGCGUUGUUCGGAAUUACUGGGCGUAAAGCGUACGUAGGCGGCUUUGUAAGUUAGAGGUGAAAGCCCAGAGCUCAACUCUGGAAUUGCCUUUAAGACUGCAUCGCUUGAAUCGUGGAGAGGUUAGUGGAAUUCCGAGUGUAGAGGUGAAAUUCGUAGAUAUUCGGAAGAACACCAGAGGCGAAGGCGGCCUACUGGGUCAGUACUGACGCUGAGCCGCGAAAGCCAGGGGAGCGAACGGG